rnacentral:tRNA from 1 species
CCUGCGAUAGCUCAAUUGGUAGAGCGGGGGACUGUAGAUUUAUAAUUUUGAUCCCUAUGUCGCUGGUUCGAAUCCGGCUCGAAGAA